CCUACGGGUGGCUGCAGUGGGGAAUAUUGGACAAUGGGGGCAACCCUGAUCCAGCAAUGCCGCGUGUGUGAAGAAGGCCUGCGGGUUGUAAAGCACUUUCAGUAGGGAAGAAAAGCUCGGAGUUAAUACCUCCGGGUCUUGACGUUACCUAACGAAGAAGCACCGGCUAACUCCGUGCCAGCAGCCGCGGUAAUACGGAGGGUGCAAGCGUUAAUCGGAAUUACUGGGCGUAUCGCGCGAGUAGGAUGUGAAAGCCCUGGGCUUAACCUGGGAACUGCAUUCGAUACUGUCUGGCUAGAGUAUGGGAGAGGGAAGCGGAAUUUCCGGUGUAGCGGUGAAAUGCGUAGAGAUCGGAAGGAACAUCAAUGGCGAAGGCAGCUUCCUGGCCCAAUACUGACGCUCAGGUGCGAAAGCGUGGGGAUCAAACAGGAUGAGAUACCCCGGUAGUC
rnacentral:rRNA from 1 species